AGAUGAUUAGCUCAGGUGGUAGAGCAACUGCCUUACAAGCAGUCUGUCAUUGGUUCAAAUCCAAUAUCAUCUA
rnacentral:tRNA from 1 species